rnacentral:SRP_RNA from 1 species
GCCGGGUGUGGUGGUGUACGCCUGUAACCCCAGCUACUUGGGAGGCUGAGACAGGAGAAUCGCUUGAACCCGGGAGGUAGAGGUUGCAGUGAGCCAGGAUUGCGCCACUGCACUCCAGCCUGGGUAAUGGAGCGAGACUCUGUCUCAA